rnacentral:lncRNA from 1 species
CACAGGAGCUUGAACACUUGUGCACACACUCGCACGCGAACUGCUCCUGGUUCUUCCAAGUUCACAGAUAGGAGCCUUGUUAAGAAUACUUUUUUGAAACAGGGGAGUCUCUUGUCUUUCAGCUGCCCUCAAACUCCCUAGCUGAGGAUGACCUUGAACUUAAGAUCUUCCUGCCUCUACGUCCCAAGUGCUACAAUUAGAGUUCCACUCCCUGAUGGCUAAGCAGUCAAAUAUAUGAGCCUACGAAGACACCCCACCCCCACAGGCAGGGUCUCUCUGUGUAGUCCUGGCUAUCUUGGGAACUUGCUCUGCAAAUCAGCCUGGCCUUGAACUCACAGAGAUCUGCCUGCCUCUGCCUGCUGGGAUUAAAGGGUGGAAACCCAGGGCCUCAGCCAUGGUAAGUCAGCACUCUAUGUUUUGUUUUUUGUUGGGCACAUGAGCUACAUAGUUAGAAACUACAUCGCCCAGAGUCCGUUGCUUAAAUCGCAUCAGUUAGUUGUGAGUGGAAGUGUUACAGCCCUGAGAAGAGAGAGCUUGUUCUCUCCUUCCCAUUCCUCUGUCCAGAACGUAAACAUGUAGGGGAUUCCAUGGGUACCCUAAGCAGGCAAAAGCUGCCUAGGUGCCCUGAUGACCUGACCAAGUAAGUGCAGG